UUUAAAUGCACUGAACACGGUUCCCUGCAUAAGACACAACAAUCUGACAGCAAGUCACAUGUUUGCCAUUUCAAAUCACUGCCAUUCAAAAUGACACUACAUGAGCUGAUUGGCCAAUAUAUUGUAUGUGCCACCUG